rnacentral:rRNA from 1 species
CUGCGGCAGCUAUAAUGCAGUCGAACGAACUCUGGUAUUGAUUGGUGCUUGCAUCAUGAUUUACAUUUGAGUGAGUGGCGAACUGGUGAGUAACACGUGGGAAACCUGCCCAGAAGCGGGGGAUAACACCUGGAAACAGAUGCUAAUACCGCAUAACAACUUGGACCGCAGGGUCCGAGCUUGAAAGAUGGCUUCGGCUAUCACUUUUGGAUGGUCCCGCGGCGUAUUAGCUAGAUGGUGGGGUAACGGCUCACCAUGGCAAUGAUACGUAGCCGACCUGAGAGGGUAAUCGGCCACAUUGGGACUGAGACACGGCCCAAACUCCUACGGGAGGCAGCAGUAGGGAAUCUUCCACAAUGGACGAAAGUCUGAUGGAGCAACGCCGCGUGAGUGAAGAAGGGUUUCGGCUCGUAAAACUCUGUUGUUAAAGAAGAACAUAUCUGAGAGUAACUGUUCAGGUAUUGACGGUAUUUAACCAGAAAGCCACGGCUAACUACGUGCCAGCAGCCGCGGUAAUACGUAGGUGGCAAGCGUUGUCCGGAUUUAUUGGGCGUAAAGCGAGCGCAGGCGGUUUUUUAAGUCUGAUGUGAAAGCCUUCGGCUCAACCGAAGAAGUGCAUCGGAAACUGGGAAACUUGAGUGCAGAAGAGGACAGUGGAACUCCAUGUGUAGCGGUGAAAUGCGUAGAUAUAUGGAAGAACACCAGUGGCGAAGGCGGCUGUCUGGUCUGUAACUGACGCUGAGGCUCGAAAGUAUGGGUAGCAAACAGGAUUAGAUACCCUGGUAGUCCAUACCGUAAACGAUGAAUGCUAAGUGUUGGAGGGUUUCCGCCCUUCAGUGCUGCAGCUAACGCAUUAAGCAUUCCGCCUGGGGAGUACGGCCGCAAGGCUGAAACUCAAAGGAAUUGACGGGGGCCCGCACAAGCGGUGGAGCAUGUGGUUUAAUUCGAA